GGUGGCAGGCCUUUGAGUGCUCCUCCUGUGCCUCUGCUCCUGGGGACCCAGGCUCUGCCUGCAAGCCAGACGUGGGUAUGCAUCUGGAGCAAGCAGGAAGUCCUUCAUGAAGUGGGAGGAAAUGAUCUUUGAGGGUUCAAUCCUGGGCCUUAGCAAAAUGUCUUGGAUUCCAGGGGCGUGUCUUGAGCCCAAUGCUCUGACUUGCUCCAAGCCUCUGUUAGUUCCUGCAGCCCUGAGCCCAUGCUAGCUUGGCUCUGUAACAGAACUGCAAGCAAGAGUCCUACACCAGGAGCCAGAAGAUUUUGGUUCCUGCAGCUCUUCCAAGAAGCCAAAGCGACCUUCCCUUUCUGGCUGUCAAUUUCUCGCUACAUCAAAUGACUGGGUCAAGUUAGAGGGUCAAUUAGCUUUAUUUUUUAAUUAGUAUAUACUUGCUGUAUAUAGUGAUCACAUUCAUCAUAGGGAAUUUGUACAUGAUAUUUUUACAUGAUAUAUCUUGAUUCUUCUUUUCUUCCCCAUUCCCCUCUCCUCCCUUUGACCCUUUUUCCCCUCCCC
ensembl:lncRNA